AUAAUAAUUAGUCUUUUAAUUGAAGGCUGGAAUGAAUGAUUGAACGAAGUAAAAUCUGUCUCAUUAAAAAUAAAAUUUUAAUUUAAUUUUUAAGUUAAAAAGCUUAAAUUUUAUUAUAGGACGAGAAGACCCUGUAGAACUUUAUAAUUAUUAAUAACUUAAUUUUUUUAAAAUUUAAUUAUUUUAUUAAAAUUAUUUUAUUGGGGUGAUAAGAAAAUUUAAUAAACUUUUUUAAUUUUAUUACAUAAAUUAAUGAAUUUUUGAUCCUAAAUUUUAGAUUAAUAGAUUAAGUUACCUUAGGGAUAACAGCGUUAUUUUUUUUAAAAGUUCAUAUUUAUGAAAAAGAUUGC
rnacentral:rRNA from 1 species